GAUGCAGCCGGUUAGGCAAGAACUUUUGUCAAGAUCACCACGGGGAAAGUGGGAAACCGGAAGGGAAAGCGAAUUCUCCCUUGUGUUGAGAAAGCAGGAGAUGCUCUGUAAUAUUUAUUUGCGCAUAUUUUUUUUCGUCCCCGUGGUGUGUUGUUUACAAGACCGGACUCACUUCUCAGUUACCAUGAGCGGAACCGAUGAAGGGAGGAUCCAGAAGAAUGGAACUCCAGGAGGCGCUUCUGCACCCUAGGAACUGUAAACUUCACACCCAGUGGGGUCCCAAGAACUAAUUUGUUCCUCCCAGAACUGGAACUUAUCUCUGCCGAACCAGUAAGAUUGCUCUGCAAGUAAAGAUGUGUGAAGAACAGAACCCACAUGGUGGAAGGAGAGAACUGGGUCCUGCAAGUUGUUCUCUGAGGUCCCCAUAAUCACACACACAGACCACGAACAAAUCAUUGGAAAAAAAUAUAAUUUUUCUCCUCCUGUAGUUUUGCGCGAUGAUUUAUCUUCUGCACUCCCCCGCCCCUUAUUUAAGUGUUUCCCUUUCUUAGAUUUUCUUUGCUUUUACUUUCAUCCGUGUUUCCUCAGUACUAAGUUUCUGUUUCUUUUCUCCUUUGGGAAAGACUGCUGACCUGUGUUUUCUUUUCGUCAUGUACAGAACUGCCUAUUUUUUUGAAAAAACCCCAAAGAUCCGUUUCAGGCCCUGUUCGUUUCAAGUUACUCUUGAGCAUCUUGUCUAAAUGGUAACAUGGGAAGAUGCUAGACUAGAGAUUCCUAUUCUUUCCAAGUUUUCAUUAGAAUUUUUAAAAUUGCCUUUCUUGAACCACCGGCCCCCAAAUCAUCACACAGAGAUGUUUUGUUACUAGUUAUGAAUGCUUGGCUGUAUCUUAUGCUUGUCUCACUAGCCCUUAUCACUUAAUUUAACCUGUUUCUCUUCAUCUGCAUUUUGCCUAG